GACGAACGCUGGCGGCGUGCUUAACACAUGCAAGUCGAACGGGAAGGCCCUGCUUUUGUGGGGUGCUCGAGUGGCGAACGGGUGAGUAACACGUGAGUAACCUGCCCUUGACUUUGGGAUAACUUCAGGAAACUGGGGCUAAUACCGGAUAGGAGCUCCUGCUGCAUGGUGGGGGUUGGAAAGUUUCGGCGGUUGGGGAUGGACUCGCGGCUUAUCAGCUUGUUGGUGGGGUAGUGGCUUACCAAGGCUUUGACGGGUAGCCGGCCUGAGAGGGUGACCGGCCACAUUGGGACUGAGAUACGGCCCAGACUCCUACGGGAGGCAGCAGUGGGGAAUAUUGCACAAUGGGCGGAAGCCUGAUGCAGCAACGCCGCGUGCGGGAUGACGGCCUUCGGGUUGUAAACCGCUUUCGCCUGUGACGAAGCGUGAGUGACGGUAAUGGGUAAAGAAGCACCGGCUAACUACGUGCCAGCAGCCGCGGUGAUACGUAGGGUGCGAGCGUUGUCCGGAUUUAUUGGGCGUAAAGGGCUCGUAGGUGGUUGAUCGCGUCGGAAGUGUAAUCUUGGGGCUUAACCCUGAGCGUGCUUUCGAUACGGGUUGACUUGAGGAAGGUAGGGGAGAAUGGAAUUCCUGGUGGAGCGGUGGAAUGCGCAGAUAUCAGGAGGAACACCAGUGGCGAAGGCGGUUCUCUGGGCCUUUCCUGACGCUGAGGAGCGAAAGCGUGGGGAGCGAACAGGCUUAGAUACCCUGGUAGUCCACGCUGUAAACGGUGGGUACUAGGUGUGGGGUCCAUUCCACGGGUUCCGUGCCGUAGCUAACGCUUUAAGUACCCCGCCUGGGGAGUACGGCCGCAAGGCUAAAACUCAAAGGAAUUGACGGGGCCCCGCACAAGCGGCGGAGCAUGCGGAUUAAUUCGAUGCAACGCGUAGAACCUUACCUGGGUUUGACAUGGAUCGGGAGUGCUCAGAGAUGGGUGUGCCUCUUUUGGGGUCGGUUCACAGGUGGUGCAUGGCUGCCGUCAGCUCGUGUCGUGAGAUGUUGGGUUAAGUCCCGCAACGAGCGCAACCCUUGUUCACUGUUGCCAGCACGUUAUGGUGGGGACUCAGUGGAGACCGCCGGGGUCAACUCGGAGGAAGGUGGGGAUGACGUCAAGUCAUCAUGCCCCUUAUGUCCAGGGCUUCACGCAUGCUACAAUGGCUGGUACAGAGAGUGGCGAGCCUGUGAGGGUGAGCGAAUCUCGGAAAGCCGGUCUCAGUUCGGAUCGGGGUCUGCAACUCGACCUCAUGAAGUCGGAGUCGCUAGUAAUCGCAGAUCAGCAACGCUGCGGUGAAUACGUUCCCGGGGCU
rnacentral:rRNA from 1 species